rnacentral:rRNA from 1 species
AUUGAACGCUGGCGGAAUGCUUUACACAUGCAAGUCGAACGGCAGCACGGACUUCGGUCUGGUGGCGAGUGGCGAACGGGUGAGUAACGUAUCGGAACGUGCCCAGUCGUGGGGGAUAACGUAGUGAAAAUUACGCUAAUACCGCAUACGAUCUAUAGAUGAAAGCGGGGGAUCGCAAGACCUCGCGCGAUCGGAGCGGCCGAUAUCAGAUUAGGUAGUUGGUGGGGUAAAGGCCCACCAAGCCAACGAUCUGGAGCUGGUCUGAGAGGACGGCCAGCCACACUGGAACUGAGACACGGUCCAUACUCCUACGGGAGGCAGCAGUGGGGAAUUUUGGACAAUGGGCGAAAGCCUGAUCCAGCCAUUCCGCGUGCAGGAUGAAGGCCCUCGGGCUGUAAACUGCCUUUGUACAGAACGAAAAGGUUUCUACUAAUACUAGGAGCUCAUGACGGUACUGUAAGAAUAAGCACCGGCUAACUACGUGCCAGCAGCCGCCGUAA